rnacentral:tRNA from 13 species
GUGUCUGUAGCUCAGUUGGAUAGAGCACCGGCCUUCUAAGCCGGGUGUCGGGGGUUCGAAUCCCUUCAGGCACA